rnacentral:tRNA from 1 species
GACAAGGCGCUAUAUAUAGCCUAGUGGACAUGGCACCUGCCCGGUAAGCAGAAGGUUGUGGGUUCGAUUCCCGCCCCUGGACA